rnacentral:rRNA from 1 species
AUUGAACGCUGGCGGCAUGCCUUACACAUGCAAGUCGAACGGCAGCACGGGAGCAAUCCUGGUGGCGAGUGGCGAACGGGUGAGUAAAGUAUCGGAACGUGCCCAGUCGUGGGGGAUAACGUAGCGAAAGUUACGCUAAUACCGCAUACGAUCUAUGGAUGAAAGCGGGGGAUCGCAAGACCUCGCGCGAUUGGAGCGGCCGAUAUCAGAUUAGGUAGUUGGUGGGGUAAAGGCUCACCAAGCCGACGAUCUGUAGCUGGUCUGAGAGGACGACCGGCCAAACCUGGACUGGGACACGGCCCAGACUCCUACGGGAGGCAGCAGUGGGGAAUUUUGGACAAUGGGCGAAAGCCUGAUCCAGCCAUGCCGCGUGCAGGAUGAAGGCCUUCGGGUUGUAAACUGCUUUUGUACGGAACGAAAAGGUUUGGCCUAAUAAGCUGAGCUCAUGACGGUACCGUAAGAAUAAGCACCGGCUAACUACGUGCCAGCCGCCGCGGUAA